ensembl:snoRNA Small nucleolar RNA SNORD60
AGCCACUGAUGACAAACUAAAUAACUUUUCUGACACCUCGUAUGAGAGCAAAGCUCCUGAUUCUAACGCUACUCUGAGGCUC